UACGUAGGGGGCAAGCGUUGUCCGGAUUUAUUGGGCGUAAAGAGCUCGUAGGUGGUUCGGUAAGUCGGAUGUGAAAUCUCCAGGCUCAACCUGGAGGGGUCAUUCGAUACUGCCGUGACUAGAGUUCGGUAGGGGAGUGUGGAAUUCCUGGUGGAGCGGUGAAAUGCGCAGAUAUCAGGAGGGACACCGAUGGCGAAGGCAGCUCGCUGGGACGGUACUGACGCUGAGGCGCGAAAGCGUGGGGAGCAAACAGG
rnacentral:rRNA from 1 species